UACGGAGGGUGCGAGCGUUGUCCGGAUUUAUUGGGUUUAAAGGGUGCGUAGGUGGCUAUUUAAGUCAGUGGUGAAAUACAGCCGCUCAACGGUUGAGGUGCCAUUGAUACUGAAUAGCUUGAAAGAAUUGGAGGCUGCCGGAAUGGAUGGUGUAGCGGUGAAAUGCAUAGAUAUCAUCCAGAACACCGAUUGCGGAGGCAGGUGGCUACGAUUUAUUUGACACUGAGGCACGAAAGCAUGGGGAGCAAACAGG
rnacentral:rRNA from 1 species